GGCGAACCGGGGGAACUGAAACAUCUAAGUACCCCGAGGAAAAGAAAUCAACCGAGAUUCCCCCAGUAGCGGCGAGCGAACGGGGAGCAGCCCAGAGCCUGAAUCAGUAUGUGUGUUAGUGGAAGCGUCUGGAAAGGCGCGCGAUACAGGGUGACAGCCCCGUACACAAAAAUGCACAUGCUGUGAGCUCGAUGAGUAGGGCGGGACACGUGGUAUCCUGUCUGAAUAUGGGGGGACCAUCCUCCAAGGCUAAAUACUCCUGACUGACCGAUAGUGAACCAGUACCGUGAGGGAAAGGCGAAAAGAACCCCGGCGAGGGGAGUGAAAAAGAACCUGAAACCGUGUACGUACAAGCAGUGGGAGCACGCUUAGGCGUGUGACUGCGUACCUUUUGUAUAAUGGGUCAGCGACUUAUAUUCUGUAGCAAGGUUAACCGAAUAGGGGAGCCGAAGGGAAACCGAGUCUUAACUGGGCGUUAAGUUGCAGGGUAUAGACCCGAAACCCGGUGAUCUAGCCAUGGGCAGGUUGAAGGUUGGGUAACACUAACUGGAGGACCGAACCGACUAAUGUUGAAAAAUUAGCGGAUGACUUGUGGCUGGGGGUGAAAGGCCAAUCAAACCGGGAGAUAGCUGGUUCUCCCCGAAAGCUAUUUAGGUAGCGCCUCGUGAAUUCAUCUCCGGGGGUAGAGCACUGUUUCGGCAAGGGGGUCAUCCCGACUUACCAACCCGAUGCAAACUGCGAAUACCGGAGAAUGUUAUCACGGGAGACACACGGCGGGUGCUAACGUCCGUCGUGAAGAGGGAAACAACCCAGACCGCCAGCUAAGGUCCCAAAGUCAUGGUUAAGUGGGAAACGAUGUGGGAAGGCCCAGACAGCCAGGAUGUUGGCUUAGAAGCAGCCAUCAUUUAAAGAAAGCGUAAUAGCUCACUGGUCGAGUCGGCCUGCGCGGAAGAUGUAACGGGGCUAAACCAUGCACCGAAGCUGCGGCAGCGACGCUGAUGCGUUGUUGGGUAGGGGAGCGUUCUGUAAGCCUGCGAAGGUGUGCUGUGAGGCAUGCUGGAGGUAUCAGAAGUGCGAAUGCUGACAUAAGUAACGAUAAAGCGGGUGAAAAGCCCGCUCGCCGGAAGACCAAGGGUUCCUGUCCAACGUUAAUCGGGGCAGGGUGAGUCGACCCCUAAGGCGAGGCCGAAAGGCGUAGUCGAUGGGAAACAGGUUAAUAUUCCUGUACUUGGUGUUACUGCGAAGGGGGGACGGAGAAGGCUAUGUUGGCCGGGCGACGGUUGUCCCGGUUUAAGCGUGUAGGCUGGUUUUCCAGGCAAAUCCGGAAAAUCAAGGCUGAGGCGUGAUGACGAGGCACUGCGGUGCUGAAGCAACAAAUGCCCUGCUUCCAGGAAAAGCCUCUAAGCAUCAGGUAACAUCAAAUCGUACCCCAAACCGACACAGGUGGUCAGGUAGAGAAUACCAAGGCGCUUGAGAGAACUCGGGUGAAGGAACUAGGCAAAAUGGUGCCGUAACUUCGGGAGAAGGCACGCU
rnacentral:rRNA from 1 species